ensembl:lncRNA
CCGCCGCCUCCGGGCCCCCCAGGACGCCGCCGCCUCCGGGCCCCCCAGGACGCCGCCGCCUCCGGGCCCCCCAGGACGCCGCCGCCUCCGGGCCCUCCAGGACGCCGCCGCCAGGUGGACGCCACCGCCGGGACCUCCAGGUUGGUCCUAACCACCGCCUCCAGGCCCUCCAGGUUGGCUGCCUCGAGGCCCGCCGUCGCCUCCAGGAUGGCUGCCGCCGGCGCCUCCAGGCUCUCCAGGAUGGCCGCCUCUAGGAUCUCCAGGCCCGCCGUUGCCUCCAGGCUUCUCCAGGUUGGCCACCACCUCCAGGCCGACCGCCGCCAUGUGGACGCCACCUCCAGGCCGGUCUCCACAAUCCUCCUCCAGGACCUCCAGGUAGUCCGCCUCCAGGAUGGCCGCUGCCGCCGCCUCCAGGCCCACCGACUCCAGGACCUCCAGGUUGGCCUCCGCCUCCAGGGCCUCCGCCGUCUCCGGGCCUUCCAGGUUGGCCGCCUCCAGGCCCUUAUGAAAUGUUGGACGCCUCCAGGACCUCCAGGCCACCGCCGCCUCCAGGACCUCCGCCUCAGUCCUUCUGAAAGGCGAAUGACACGUUCCAUUUGCACACUGCACAUUUCUCCCCGUACAUGAUGCAGAUAAUCAACCGCUCUUCUGCUUUAGCUCCCACAGAUCUCACUGAUGCCCUACUGUGCAGCCUUGAGUGAGGUAUUAUUAACCCAACAGCCAGCCACACACACCUAGCCUACAUCCUGGAGCUGGUCCUAGUGGCUGAGAAUGCAUCUGACCUUUUUCAGAACACCUCAGAGUGGCUGUGGCUGCAUCAUGUCAAAGGUUUAAUUCUAAACAAUUCACCAAGCCUAGAAAAGAUGUGCAGCUGUGCAGUUCCGUGUCUCACCGUUCUGCAUCCGUUGGGCUGCACAGCUCCCGGCCUUCCCUCCACCUGCAGCAGGCGCCUCCAGACGACCGCCACGGACCUCACGGCGAGCACCUCCAGACGACCGCCACGGACCUCACGGCGAGCACCUCCAGACGACCGCCACGGACCUCACGGCGAGCACCUCCAGACGACCGCCACGGACCUCACGGCGAGCACCUCCAGACGACCGCCACGGACCUCACGGCGAGCACCUCCAGAC